rnacentral:rRNA from 1 species
GAUGAACGCUGGCGGCGUGCCUAAUACAUGCAAGUCGAGCGAACGGACGCGAAGCUUGCUUCUCUGAUGUUAGUGGCGGACGGGUGAGUAACACGUGGAUAACCUACCUAUAAGACUGGGAUAACUUCGGGAAACCGGAGCUAAUACCGGAUAAUAUUUUGAACCGCAUGGUUCAAAAGUGAAAGACGGUCUUGCUGUCACUUAUAGAUGGAUCCGCGCUGCAUUAGCUAGUUGGUAAGGUAACGGCUUACCAAGGCAACGAUGCAUAGCCGACCUGAGAGGGUGAUCGGCCACACUGGAGCUGAAACACGGACCAGACUCCUACGGGAGGCAGCAGUAGGGAAUCGUCCGCAAUGGGCGAAAGCCUGACGGAGCAACGCCGCGUGAGUGAUGAAGGUCUUCGGAUCGUAAAACUCUGUUAUUAGGGAAGAACAUAUGUGUAAGUAACCGUGCACAUCUUGACGGUACCUAAUCAGAAAGCCACGGCUAACUACGUG